UCCCACAAUAUUACAAAAUCCAUAUAUAAUACUCUUUAAUACCAUAGGUAAUAUUAUGGAUGCUUAAAAAACAUUGAAAUAAGAGAUAGGUUAUCAAGUCAAUCAAUGAUAAUUUUAGCAAAUAUAAUUUACACGUUUAAGUUUAACCCUUAAAUUGGUAAAAAAAAAAA